GAAACAUUGCUAACAAUAUAGUUUCUUCAAUGAUUUAAACUCACUUAAGCCAGAGAACCUCACACACACUUGAUGUAUAAUAAUAUGAGAAUAAUCGGCAGCUUUCCAUUGCUUUUCAAGACGAAACAUCGAGAAGAGGACAGCCGAACCAGAAGCUUGCCAUGCUAUGAUUCCAUGGACAAAACAUUAAUGAACAAUGACUUUCCAAUUCAGAUAGCGCCGACUUCAAUCGACUUUUAUUUAGUGGGUUUUAGUAUACGGUACGGUUAAGAUAAAUUUAAUUUUACGUGGAUCAAAUAUUUAAGAAACACCCUUUGUAUUAGCCUUCACCCAAAUGCAGAAAUCGAGUUUUUUUUUUUUUUUUUU
rnacentral:misc_RNA from 1 species